CGCACGCCCGGGACUCUUGUUCCUCUUUCACUUGUCUUCCCAGGGAACACAGGAGAAUGGAAGAUGUUGAUACAAUACCUAAACACAAGCUUUGAUUUCCUCGGCUGUCCAAUGGAUUGAACAGCGCCUGCCCUUCCUAUCCUUUCCGUGUCACAGGGCUGUUUAGGGAUCGACUGAAACAAGGAGGGUGCGAGCCUACAGAUGCCUCUUCGCGUAGCUACCUGGAGGCUCCAGAUCAAGGUCAACAUGGACAGUGAUAUAUCAUGUUGGAUGGAGUAAAUGAAUAAAUAUUUUGAGAAUGUGGGGAACCAGGUUUCUUGCUUUCGGAGAAGACAUACAAAUAUGGAGGAGAUGCUGGGGUCAAGUGGCUGGAGCUCUAGAAAUCAUACUAUAAGCACGGGAUGAAGAUUCACCCUAGGGAUUGUGGAAUGGCAAGCUGCCCAGACCUUGGAUCCCCAAAAAGCUCAUGGCACUGCCACAUCAACCCUACACUGCCCACUUCUGAACACCUUAUUAGAGGAAAGGAAAAGAAAGUUCUGUGUUGCUUAAAUCAAUUUUCAGAUCAGCCAAGUACAGUUUCUGACUGAUACAAACACACAGCGUGCCCUUGGCAAAGUAACUUCUUUAGCCCCUUCAUGUCUCAGUUUCUUACUCUUUGAAGUUGAGUAAGAGUACUAACCAGUUUUAAAGAACACAUAAUACAGUGAUUUUAAUAUUCUGUUUACUAAAGCCCUAGAAAAUUUUUGGAGGUAGUCCAAAGGAGGAAGGGGGUAAAUACAUGGGUAUCUGAAUGCCCAAUAUUCAAUCAGAACAGUUCCUCUUCUAUUUGAUUUUUAUUUUGGGUUUCCAAGUAAGAUUUCAUUUGGAGGGGGUGAAAAAAGAAUUUAAAGGCCAAAAGAAUUUGAAAAUCACUGGCAGGGAAAAAUGUUUAGUCCUUUGUAUGUGAGAAGGACACUUGGGGCGUACCACUAAUCCUGAGAUGAUACUUUUCUAACAUCGCCAAUGGAUCUAAUGAUGCCAGUUCGAUGCUUCUUGAGACCAAUAUCUCACACCUGUAGACCAGCCUAAGGGAGCAGCCUGGGGCCACGGAGCGGUGCAAAGUGCCCUGACCCAUGCAGGAAUAAAAUCAGUCACCCCCACUACCUCCAAGCUGCACUCUAACCCUCUGAAGGAUAACAAGCCAGAGAGCCAUGCACAGCUGCAAUCUGAGGUGUUACAUAGAGACUGGAGGAAUCUAGGGAGCUGUGUCCAGAAGGAAGGCAUUUUGUCCAUCACUGGCUCUUGUUACCUCCCAUAGCCCUGACCUCUCUAACCCAUCAGACUUAGCGUAAUUCUUUAUUCAAGGGUUCAGUAGUCUUCCAUAUAGGAAAAAGUUCCCAACUGAGAUUUUGGGAAGGCAAAAGGGAACAGGAAUGGGAACAGGACCGGGACGGGACAGGAAGGGAAGGGAAGGGAAGGGAGGCAGUCCUGGGCCUUUCACACAACUUUGACUUCUAAUCAUGCUAUCUCUUAGCAGAACAUCUCACCUGGGCCUUGGAGAAAGAGCUAAACUUACAAAGAUCUUGGGAUCUUGGAAAUCAGCAUCUGUCUGUCAAAUCCCCAAAAAUGAUACACACCAGGCUCAUUGGUUAUAGAAGUCUCCUCUGCACACUCUGCCACCUCAAAUAAUAAGCAGCAGCAGAGGGCUGAGGACUGGCAUCUGCUCCACCAGAGUCCCUGAAGGAAUCCCACCCCUGACUCCAAAUUCUCCUUCCCAACUGCCUUGCUUUCAACUUUGACUUGCCAAUCAAGCCACGGCUUGUCCUACUCAAGUCCUUGGCUUUGUUUCUCUGAACAUGAUCAUUGCCCGUCUGUUUUUCUUUGUUGGGGGUCAUGUCCCAAUGCUGAGCCCCCAGCCUCAUGAGCUCUGUCCUUAAUUACCUCUUGCUAACUCUGCACACUAUCUCCAGGCUACAUAUGUGCCCAUUCAGAGCACUCCAAACUGCCAAAAUCUAGACUCUUCUGUCUGCCUUUCUUUCUUUCUCAUCUUCUCAAACAUCUCUACACAAGCACACUUCAUUCAAAUAGGUCAUUCAAAUAGCAGCUAUCCUAUUGCAUUGCAUCUUACCUCUUUCUUUUCCACCCCAACUCCACCUUUGCAAAUACAUCCUUCUGGGUAGGUUUUUGAAUGAUGAUGAGGGCAAUAAGAGGAAGGAUGACAUCAAAAUUUAAUAGAUAGAAUUUGCAGGGUAAUUAAGAAGAGUAGAUGGAAGGUCUGCUUCCUAUCAGAUUCAGUGAGGCAGAUGGGAGUGCUAAAUUUUGUCUCUUCGCCCUCUGCAUGUAUUUCUGCCUCUUUUCUAUACUCCUCUCUGGAUCACAGGGGUUGGAAGACUUAAAACCAUAUCUUCCUGACUCCUUUUCUGCUAGGAUUUUAGAUAUGAUUUACCUUCUGCCAUUAAAAUGUCCUAACGUGCUAUCUGGCGUACAGAAGGGAAGCGGAGGUCAUUCUUUCUGGGACAGCAGUGACUGAUGAACAUGCUCCCACAAACACAAGCUUUCACAGUAGCCAGACUUCAUGUUACACUCUCCAAUGACCAGCCUCAAGGGUAAUGGGCAGGUGUCCCUACCGGCAGCGAUUUCCUGACCUCUGGGUAAUAGUAGAGAGUAGAUGGAAGAGAAAAAGAAGUCUUACUGGAUUCAGUAAAGUGGAUCAAGCCACAUGCCUUUGGCUCCAGCUACUUAACCUCUCUUCUCCCCCCACCCCCAUUACAGGGUCAAAUAACUGAGACACUAUUUCUUAUAAAUGAACUUUAAAAUAAGUAGUAUUGGAAUAACUGAUAGCCACAGAUACAAGUCUGGUUUAAUGUUCAAAAAUCAAUCCAUAUAGUCACCCACAUUAAUAAAGAGAAAAAAUCCCUUGUGAUUGUAUCAAUUGAUGCAGAAUGAACAUCUGAUAAAAAUUCAACACCUAUUCAUGAUUUUAAAAACUCUCAGAAAACUAGGAAUAGCAGGAAACUGACUCAAUUUGAUAAAGAACAUCAAUGAAAAAUCCCAUAGCUAAUAAAUUGUAAAAGACUGAAUGUUUUUCCCCUAAGAUCGUGCACAAGGUGGGGCGCCUGGGUGGCUUAGUCUGUUAAGCAUCUGCCUUCGGCUCAGGUCAUGAUCCCAGGGUCUUGGGAUCAAGCCCAGCAUGGAGCCUGCUUCUCUCUUUCCCUCUGCCAUUCCCCCCUCUUGUGUUCUCUGUCUCUCUCUCUCUCUUUCGAAUAAAUAAAUAAAAUAAAAUAAAAUAAAACAAAAUAAAAUAAAAGAUCAGGUACAAGGUAAAGAGGUCUGCAAAGUUAUCUGCUCUCAUCACUGCUAUUCCUGUGAUCUAGCCAGCUCAAUAAGGCAAGAAAAGAAAAUAGAGGCAUACAGAUAAGAAAGUAAGAACUAAAAAUGUCCCUCUUUGCAGAUGCCACCAUGGUCUACAUAGAAAUCCCAAGGAAUCUGAAAAAAACAUUCUGCAAACUAGUAGGUUCAACUACAUCACAGAUACAAGAUCAACAUACAAAAAUCAAUUGUAACAAUAGAAAAAUGAAUUACAUUUCUAUAUUCUUACAGUGACUUUGUGGACACAAAUUAAAAAUACAAUACCAUUUAUAACCAUUUAUACACCAUUUAUCAAAUAAUACCAUUUAUCAAAAAAAUAUAGCAAUGGAGUGACUGCUAUUCACAGGUCUCUCAGCUGCUAGAGAGCCCCAUUCUGAGAUAAGACACCUCUCCACCCUGACUCUAGUAAAGAGGUCAGGAAACCUUGAGUAAGAGUAGAGGUACUAAUUUCGGGCAGUUAAUUACAUUUUUUCAGCAUCCAUCUCCCUGAAGUUUUCACUGGGCAAAUCCUUCAGGAGGACAUCCCCAUUAGCUAUUCAUUUUUCUUUUGCACUGACUGGAGAAUGAAGCGACUGUUGGCUGUGUCACACAACUCGUUGAAAUUCACCCCUGGGUGAAGUGAUCCUCAAAUAAUUACCAAAUGUAGUUCAGGUAACUGAAUUAGUGAAUUACAUUGGCUCCUUUGAGAUGAAAGACUCUUUAGGAAUGUGAAAUACUUUGGUUCUUUGUUAUUAAUAACUUGAACAAUGGAAGAACCCAAAGUAGUAUUCAAUAUGCUCCAGGAAUGGGAUGACUAAAAUUAAAGAAUGCAAUUGACUUUCAUUUUCCAUACUUUUCAUUUCAAUAGUCAGGACUGAAUGUGACAAGUCAUCAAAUCCCCUCUGAGGUUAAUAAGGCAUCAACUACAGAACUCUGGGAAGAGAAAAAUUCAGCCAAAGUGUGGCAAGUAGGCCAUGAACCUAAAACCUAAUUGACAGAGGGAUGGGUGUUCUCUUCAAGUUGCACAUCUAUCCCACCAGAGGAAUUGCUGCGUGUCUGCUACUGUUCCAAAGUCCCCAGUUAUUGAUCCUGAUAUUGCACAGUUUUCCAAUAAAUCUUAAUCACACAGACACAAAUCAGCAGAAGUACUGAGAGUCUUCCUGAAUAUUCACCGGGUGAGAGAUGCAGGUGGCAUCUUUGACUAGAAACGCCUGCAGGCAAUUGCAUACCGCAUUGGGAAGGGGAAGAGAUUUCCACCGGGAGAGCUUAUCAUUCCUUAAAUAUUUAUGUUUCGUUUCUCGGUUAUAAAAUUACGGCAUCCCUCUCAAGAAUUCCACCAAAUAUGUCUAUUGUCUGAGGGGAUUGUUUUUUGUUUUUUGUUUUUUGUUUUUUAUUUACUGCAGCUUUCAAGAUAGUACAUACAUGACUUUCAAAAACUCACUUUGAAAAUUGAGGGGAUUCUCUUUUAUCUCAAGAGACGGUGCAGGCUCACUGAUUUCUGUAAUGUUUCCCUUUUUCAUAACGGCACAGAGACAUCACUCUGCACACUGUCAACACUCUUUUGGGAAGCACAGCUUAUAACAAUAGAGAACUCAAUAUUGAACAAACCUUGCAACUGUCGCUUAUAACCCUUUUCCUUCUGUUACUUGCAGCAAAAUCUUAAGAUUUCUGAGUCAGAUAAAUGUAUCUGAAGAGACCGUCACAAUUUACUUAGCUUUACUUUAGCUAUAAGCAAAAUGGGGAGAAACAUCUACUCCUACCCCACAAUGAAGAAAAAAUGGAUAGCUGGGCUCCCCUGGGGGAAGCAGUGUUCUACAGAGCAUAGGAUAAAUGCUGGUGGAGAUGGAAGAUAAAGUCCUCCUUCCCAAUAAUCUACAAUCCGGGAGCCCAAGACGGGCCAAGUCUUUAACAAAAGCCCAGAGACAACUCUAGUCACUUACACCUGAGGGUAAGACCGCCAUUUUCCUUUCCUAAUAUCCCAAGGUGCCUAGCACAUUUCUAUGACCAAUAGAUGUGAUUGGCUAACUAAAUGAAAGAUAACAGUCAGCUUGAUUAGUGUCUUCUCUCUGGUUGACAUAUGUCCAAUGCUUCGUCCGUCAAAAACUGAAAUGAAAAGAUUGAUAAUUCUUACUCUGAAUUAUAAAAUGUCCAAAAAUCCAAAAGAAAAGUGUUUUAACUCAUUUUGUUAUCACAUCUCAAUUUUAUACCAUGCAGCAACUUUCUAGGAUACAGAGUAGAAUGAUAGAAACUUGUGAACAUCUCCUGAAGCCCAAGAGAUUAUCUUACUUUUUGGAGUUCCUUUGGCAAACUUCUGUUUGACACACAUCAAAACAUCAUCAAUAUGUUUUAAUGUGAUUUUCCAAUUUGCAGAGAGGAUGGUGUGUGUUCUAGGCUGACUUCAAUGGUCAGAGAACGUCUUUGCUGAAUAAAAACCAAUCGGAAAGACUUUCAACGUGUGCUAUAGUGUAUCUCUGCCUGAUUUCUUCGUAAUGUUACUUGGACAGUUAACUUGCUUAAAGUAAGUUAGUAUAAAUUAUAUCAUCCUUCCUGUAAAAAAAUUUUUUCACCAACAAAAUGGACUGCUAGAUUUCAAGGAAAGAGGUAAGAGCUGAUUAGCUUCUUUCACAAGUGUAUCUUCAAUAAGUAUCUCUCUGUGAUCACCAAGACAGUGGU